rnacentral:rRNA from 1 species
AGCAGCCGCGGUAAUUCCAGCUCCAAUAGCGUAUAUUAAAGUUGUUGCAGUUAAAAAGCUCGUAGUUGAAUUUCGGGAUUAGUGCGCUGGUCAUGCCUUUGGUAUGUACUGGUGUUACUGAUUUCUACCUUCUGAAGAACCGUUAUGUCAUUUAUUUGGUGUGGCGGGAAAUCAGGACUGUUACUUUGAAAAAAUUAGAGUGCUUAAGGCAGGCUAUCGCCUGAAUACAUUAGCAUGGAAUAAUGAAAUAGGAUGGCAUGGUUCUAUUUUGUUGGUUUCUAGGAUCACCGUAAUGAUUAAUAGGGAUAGUUGGGGGCAUUAGUAUUCAAUUGUCAGAGGUGAAUUUCUUGGAUUUAUUGAAGACUAACUACUGCGAAAGCAUUUGCCAAGGAUGUUUUCAUUAAUCAGGAACGAAAGUUAGGGGAUCGAAGACGAUCAGAUACCGUCGUAGUCUUAACCAUAAACUAUGCCGACUAGGGAUCGGAUGAUGUUAAUUUUUUAAUGACUCA